rnacentral:rRNA from 1 species
UACGGAGGGGGCUAGCGUUGUUCGGAAUUACUGGGCGUAAAGCGCGCGUAGGCGGCUUUGUAAGUUAGAGGUGAAAGCCCGGAGCUCAACUCCGGAAUUGCCUUUAAGACUGCAUAGCUAGAAUCAUGGAGAGGUGAGUGGAAUUCCGAGUGUAGAGGUGAAAUUCGUAGAUAUUCGGAAGAACACCAGUGGCGAAGGCGAACUCACUGGACAUGUAUUGACGCUGAGGUGCGAAAGCGUGGGGAGCAAACAGGG